GUAGAUUGAGCCAUAUCCGUAGGCACCAAACCAAAGCAAACCGAACGAAGCCAUGUUUAGUGGCAACAACAGCGACAACGAGAUGGACGAGUCCUAAUAAAUGGCUGAAGGCGUACUGCUUUCACCGUACAUUAUAUUUGGCGCAGCCGGUAACAGUAACCAGAAGAUGUGCGUAACCUUUUACCUCACACGGCGAGACGGCCAUCUACUGAUCGCAAGCUACGAACUAGACGGUGAGAACUUCAUUUGCCGCACCGAAUGAGAUUACUACCCCUGAUCGCCUCGAAGCCAUCACUGCCAAUGACAAACAGCCGAUCAGCGACGUCAUCACUAGAGGUGCCGCCCGCUGCGUGUGGGUGUACCUGGACCCUUGCCUCGGUGAGGCGCGUCCUCUGUGCCAGCUCCUCGCGGGUGUAGAUGUCCGGGUACUGGGUUCGCUCGAACGCCUUCUCCAGUUCGUCGAGCUGAGCCGCCGAGAAGGUGGUGCGCGAGCGGC